CAGUCGCCACGGGAAUACGAACCGUGCGAACGUUAUUCGGAAUCACUGGGCUUAAAGCGCGUGUAGGCGGGAGGGCACGUCCGUCGCUGAAAUCCCCCAGCUCAACCGGGGAACGGGCGCGGAUACGACUCUUCUGGAGGAACGUAGGGGGACCUGGAACUUCCGGUGGAGCGGUGAAAUGCGUUGAGAUCGGAAGGAACGCCCGUGGCGAAAGCGAGGUCCUGGACGUUUACUGACGCUGAGACGCGAAAGCCAGGGGAGCGAACGGGAUUAGAUACCCCCGUAGUCCCUGUCUCUUAUA
rnacentral:rRNA from 1 species